AUUCACACAAGCGAGCACAUCUAUGCUGCCAGAAACCGCCUCAGUUUUGUUCACUACCGCCAAAUGAAAAAAAGAACGCCGCUAAAGUCGGCCGAGCAAUUUUCACUCCGCUUCGUUUUUGUGCCCGGGUGCACUGUGAUCCAGAUUAAGCAGCUUUGAACAGGACUCUCACCAAGCUGGGAUUUAUUCUCCCGAGCGACGGAAGAGCAUUCAAAUAACGUCAGGUCGGAAAGAAGCCGUCGAAAUUCGAAAGACACCAGGGUGAAAGUGCUUAUAGGUAGAGCGACUGGAAUUCCGCAUUUACCGCGAGAACAAACACCCCUCAUUCAAGGGGUCUUUGUUUUGGCUUAUUUGCAGCUCAUCUGUCGGGCAGGAUCGCCGAAUCUUCAGCACGGCGGAAACAUACCGAAGGCGGAUGUCUGCAUUGAAACGGUGGUAGCUAGCCACAUUACUGAGUGAACCAGUCCUACACUCAAGGAUCGAGCAUGUCCGACAGCAGGCACUGGGAGCCGACGGCCACUGAUUGCAAGUGAUGGCAAACGGCGCGGAGAGCGAGUAGUGUCAAAGGGGAAGCAGAUAAAUGACGGUGCAGUAAGUAGUAGGGGUGUAAGAAAAGUGCAGCAGGAAGAAGAGAAAAGGCAUGAGAAGAGAUUAGGGUGGAAGCAUAGAGGAUGAGAGGAAGUGAGAAGAAAGAAGCCUUGGUAGAGGCAUAGUAGAAAGGAGAAAGGAAUAAGAAGAGGAUGAAGAGUGGUGAUAAUGGGAAUAAUACAUGUUUAUUGAUUUAA